AUGGACUGGAUGCCUUCCCUGCUCACCCUCCUCACUCUCUGCACUGGUUCUUUGACCUCCUCUGAGCUGACUCAAGUAUCUGCCGUGUCUGUGGCCUUGGGAAAGACAGCCAGGGUUACCUGCCAGGGCAAUGGCAUAGGAACACUUUAUGCAAACUGGUACCAGCAGAAGUCAGGUCAGGCCCCAUUGCUGGUCAUCUAUCAUAGCAUCAACCAGGCUUCAGGGAUCCCUGAUCGAUUAUCUGGCUCCAAAUCAGGGAACAUAGCCACCCUGACCAUCAGCAGGACCCAGACCAACGAUGAAGCUGACUAUUACUGUCAGUCAUGGGACAGCAGUAUCCACAGCAAUUAUCCACAGUGA